CGGAGGGUGCAAGCGUUAUCCGGAUUCACUGGGUUUAAAGGGUGCGUAGGUGGGUUGAUAAGUCAGUGGUGAAAUCUCCAGGCUUAACUUGGAAACUGCCAUUGAUACUAUCAGUCUUGAAUACUGUGGAGAUGAGCGGAAUAUGUCAUGUAGCGGUGAAAUGCUUAGAUAUGACAUAGAACACCUAUUGCGAAGGCAGCUCGUUACACAAAUAUUGACACUGAGGCACGAAAGCGUGGGGAUCAAACAGGAUUAGAUACCCUGGUAGUCCACGCCCUAAACGAUGGAUACUCGACAUUUGCGAUAAACUGCAAGUGUCUGAGCGAAAGCAUUAAGUAUCCCACCUGGGAAGUACGACCGCAAGGUUG
rnacentral:rRNA from 1 species